rnacentral:lncRNA from 10 species
CUGAACAUCUACUUAGUGGUUAUAAAAUAUUUGCUGCUGAAAGCCACAGAGCAUUGAUAAACAGAUCCUGGACAGCUGAGUUAUUGCAAUCUACUUAACAUGAGGAGAACAAAUUGUGAGUCAAAUGUUCCUGUUUAAUAACCUUACUCAGGGCAGAGAGAGCUGCUCAAGGUUGGCGUUAACUCUGCAUGCGCUGCGCCAGCCAGGGUCCCAGAAAGGGCUGUGCAGACGUUGAAGCAAUUCAGAUUAUGCUUUACUUUAACACAUGCAGAAAAGGAUGGAUUCAUCUCAUUCAUGGGAAACAGAUGAGGAAUACAUUUUCUGUGAAUGCUAUUUCAAAAAAUUAGAGAAUUGAGACCCACUGACUUGAAGAAGGAGGCAUGGCUGUUGGGGAUAGAGUUAUGAUUACAAUUCAGGUCUUGUCUGUUAGCCUGCUGCUGCUUCCACUAUUCCUUCCAUCCUUGUGGCACUGGGAGAG